rnacentral:tRNA from 1 species
GUAAUAAAGAGCUUGUUGAGCGGCUUAAUUUCGACUUAAGUGAAG